CACUAAAUCUUCUGUACCCUGUCUUUCCUCACUCUCAGAGUUUCUCAAUAGUCUCAUCUAUAAAACAGCCUUCAGUCCUUGGAAGAGUACAGGAGGGGCAGAUUGUUUUGUUCUCAUUGGCUUAAGAAAAGUUUGGGCAAAAACGUGACUCAGGACUGCAGGAAGAUAUUAAAUGCAUUUUAAAUAACUAUAUUUUACUUAACUUGACCUUAUACUUUCACUGAAAUACAGUGUGCAUUUUAUUAAAUAUUGUUAACCAGCAUCUUCAGAAAAACAUAAGGAUAGGGCUGCUAUUUGGCAUUAGAGAAAGAGAAACCAAUACUGCUUUCUUGCAUUAAGCUCUAAAAAGAUGGGUUCAUCACCUGAUAAAUUCUACUAAUUAUAAAACUGAAUUUUAGAAAGAAAAGAAAAACACAAAGUAGUGAUUUAACAAAAUUAAUCUGUCAUUUUUACAAUGAAUAUAUAUAGUUUCAGUAAUAAGAACAAUUAAAUGUUAUUAAUAAAUAAAUUAAGCUAUCAAAAGACAUGUGCAAGCUACUUAGAAGUCAGAAAAAAGUCAUUUUUUGAGGUAUUAUGAAGUAAAAUUUCACUGGGGAUGAAUACUGGAAUGUUUUUCCCAAAGCUCAUGAGAAUCAUAAAUCCAUGGAAACAGAGGAGUCUCAUUUUUGCUUUGGUGAAAAAGAGCUGUAGGAAGCUUUGCCCAGGGGUACGAACCUGCCUUUAUAAAAGCCAUAACAAUUUCACUGUUUUUAAUCAUCUCGCCUUUCUGUGGAUUUCACAGUGAGUGAACUCUGUACCCAUGGAAAGCCUAUGAUACAUAGUUACCCAACAAGAUAGUCAGGAUUCAACUAUUCUAAUAAAUCAAAAAGUAUUUUUAAAAUAUUUAUCAAGCACUCUUAAUAUCAUGGAUGCCAUAUAUAAACACAUAGUUUUUCCCCAUGGCCUCAUAAUUCAAGGUAUCAUGGCGUCUAUCCCACCAAUGAUCAUCAGAAUGCAGGAUUGUAUGUAUCUGCACAUUCUCUUUAGAGGAAUGUUGACUUUAAUUUCUGAAGGUUUUGUAGGCUUGAUGUAGACUUUAUAGGUAAGAACAAAUCCUUACAGCCUUUUUAAGGUCGAGAUUUCCUGUGCACAUGCUGGGGGUGCUUUGUGAAGCCAGUCAGUGUCUGUGAAAGAGGAGUUUAUUGACAAAUAGGUCAACAGCUGCUCCAGAUGGGGACCCGCAUUGAGAAGGUACUAUGUCUGCAACAGCGGACCUAUAGCGGUGGUUCUCCAACUGAAGCUUCUAUCAGAAUCACUUGGAGGCCUUGUUAAAAGAGAUUGCUUCCCCACCCCCAGUUUCAGAUUAAGUAGAUCUGGCUGUGGGGUGUGAGAUUCGGCAUUUCUAAUGACGUCUUAGAUGAUGUGCAGCUGUUCUGAGAACCACAUUUUGAGAAGCAGUGACCUGGAGGGUCAUCCUAGAGGAACCAGUCCACCCUAAAGGAAAUCAGUCCUGAAUAUUCAUCGGAAGGACUGAUGCUGAAGCUGAAACUCCAAUACUUUGGCCACCUGAUGCGAAGAACUGACUCCUUGGAAAAGACCCUGAUGCUGGGAAAGAUUGAAGAGAGGAAGUCAUGAGAAUCCUGGUGCUGUGUCCUUUAUUCUCCUCACUCUGGAAGAGUCCACGGUGUCACAUGGAUCAGUUUGCUUUGAAUCCCAUCUGUUUAAUUGUGGUAAUCAUUUUUGCUGACCCUCCUUCCUGAGCCUCCUUCUUGAGGAGCAGUCUUGGAUCUCUGCAACUCUGCCUCAGCCUCAGUCUGCUCUAAUAUCUCAAUCCUAGAUGUUUAGGGAUUAUUUAGAUAACCCCUAAAUGUCCUGGAAAAUGCUGGGGGAAAGAGGUCAAGAGAUGUUGGGCUAGUCUCAGCCACAGACUUAUGUUUAUCACAGCUUAAAUGAAAGCAUUACAUUUAAUUAUAUUCCCUUUGGCAUGCCUCUGUCUCUUGGAUGUGAUAAUUAAUGUGACACAGAACAAGCAGUUAAUAACUGUUGGUUUUUAUCUGUCUGUCUUUAACUAAUAACCUUUGACCUGCAAAGAUGGUUUAGAAAAAUAUUAGGUAACUCAGUUUUAGCCAUUAUGAUGUUGUAAUGACUUGUGCUGACCUAAUGUCCUUGCUUUAUUUGGUGGCUCAGAUAGUAUAGCCAAAAUAUAAAUGUGAAAACUCUCUAAAUCAAGGCUAAUACCUCCAAAGACAAGACUGCUGUCAAGGUGCUUGGAUGGAAGUGACUUUUAUAGCUGUACCUUAACUUGGAUUAACUUUCAUAAUACAGGCCACAUCAGAUGAUCUCAAUAUUAGAGGUAAGGAUGCAUCGUGAUGAAGCUUCCUACCAGUUUUCAAAUGUUUGCCACUUCUCAAAGCUAUUUUCUCAGUUUCACUGCGGCUGCAGUUGCUACUGUUUACCUGGACUUUUUUUUUCUAAUUAAUUUAUUUGGAGGCUAAUUACUUUACAAUGUAAUGGUUUUUGCCGUACGUUGACGUGAAUCAGCCAUGGGUGUACAUGUGUCCCCCAUCCUGAAGCCCCCUCCCACCUCCCUCCCCAUCCCAUCCCUCAGGUUUGUCCCAGCGCACCGGCUGUUUCAUGCCUCGAACCUGGACUGGCCAUCUAUUUCACAUAUGGUAAUACUCAUGUUUCAUUGCUGUUCUCUCAAAUCAUCUCAAAUCAAAUCAUCCCACCCUCGCCUUCUCCCACCUGGACUUAUUGAAGACAUUCUUCUGAAACCCAAGAAAUAACUUUUGCAUGGCUGCAUGUAGUCAGGAUAGUUGUAAUGGUAUGAAAGUUUUUUGCUUUGAACCAGUUUCCUUCAACAACUGUUCUGUUGCCCCCUUGGAGUGAUGAAACUUCUUCAUAAAUGGUAUAUUAAACAUAGAAUGUUUGAGCAACAUCAACUAUCUCAAGGCAGACAUGAUGAUUUCUGAUCAACAACUCUGGGGAAGGGCCUUAUCAAAAUUUAUAGCAGAAUUUUAGGUUUAAGGUUUUUAAAAAAAUAUUUUUAAGCCCCUGCCAAGUUGAGUGGGUCCCUGGUAAAUGUUUGCUGAAUUAAUGAGGGAAUGAAUUGUGGAAGGCAUCAUUGUAUGUUAAUUGAUAUUCCCUAUUUGAAAUGGACAGUUCUGUAUCCUGUGCAUUGUCUAUACUGGACCCUUGACCAGUUUCUGGACGUUGCCUGAACUUUCUUGUCUGCUGUGCCUAUGGUCACUCCAUUUCCUCCAGCUCGAUUGCCCUUUCCAUCUCUACUGAAAUUCUACCCAUCCGUCAGCCUGCAUCCAAUGCUGUCGUUUCCCUAAAGCCUUCUUGGCUUUUUCUAUCACCCCAGAGGAAAAUAUUGUAACUAUCUCACAUGCUUGUCAGAGUACAUUUGCUUGUUUCUUUUGUCUUCAGCACUUUUCUUGUGUAACAGUAAAAUGUAUACAUACAUAUAAUGUCUUUCAUUUUAGAACUUAAGUUCUCUAAGAAUAGACUGUGUUGUGUUUGUCUUUGUGCCUCACACACACACACACACACUUUAGCAUAGUGUUAUAUAUGUUAGUUCCUCAAUCUUCUUCUUUUGUUAAAUGAAUAAAAUUUACAGGGGAUUAACUUUUCUUUCUAUAUUGUAAUACCUAUAAAUUCCCCAUCCUUCAUAGAAAUUUUUGACAAAAAUGCUGAUAAAUUGAAAAAAGCAUUAAGACUUGAUUUUCACUGAAAUUUUUAAGUCAUUGGUAGACAUGGAUUGGGGGCAGGAGGAGAAGGGGAUGACAGAGGAUGAGAUGGCUGGAUGGCAUCACUGACUCGAUGGACGUGAGUCUGAGUGAACUCCGGGAGUUGGUGAUGGACCGGGAGGCCUGGCGUGCUGCGAUUCAUGGGGUCACGAAGAGUCGGACACGACUUGAGCGACUGAACUGAACUGAACGGAGACAUGUAAAUGAAGAACAAUGGACCAGGCUCUGGGAAAACUAGAUUUUUAAAAGACAUUGAGCGGAUAAAUUUGUUUGGAUUGGUUGGGUGGGGAUGAACAAAAUCACUGUAAGAACCAUCGAUAUUUAGUCUAAAAACCUAGGGAGAUAACACAGCCUUUUUCUUCUGUCAAGAGUGAAAUGUUUAUUAAUAUUGUUUUCUAGUUUAGAAUUCAGCACAUGGUUCUCAAGUA